UUUUUUUUAAAGGGGAAUUGGGAGGAAAAAAUAUCAAGAUUUGGGGCAACUACCCACAGAGAUGGAAGGUGUGUUAAUUUGGGCGCUUCUUGGAUUCUACCCUGAGGAGGAAGCGCAUGAUCUUGAUCUGUCGCUCGCUGAGGUUCAGCAGAUUGGCCAUCUCCACGCGACGCGGCCGGCACAGGUAGCGGUUGAAGUGGAACUCCUUCUCCAGCUCCACCAGC